GCCUACCAUGGUGGUAACGGGUAACGGGGUGUUAGGGCACGACACCGGAGAGGGAGCCUGAGAAACGGCUACCACAUCCAAGGAUGGCAGCAGGCGCGCAAAUUACCCAAUCCCGACACGGGGAGGUAGUGACAAUAAAUAACAAUACGGGGUCCUUUCGGGUUUCGUAAUUGGAAUGAGUACAAUUUAAAUCUCUUAACGAGGAACAAUUGGAGGGCAAGACUGGUGCCAGCAGCCGCGGUAAUUCCAGCUCCAAUAGCGUAUAUUAAAGUUGUUGCAGUUAAAAAGCUCGUAGUUGAAUUUCGGGAUUAGUACGUUGGUCGUGCUUUCGGGUAUGUACUGGUGUUACUGAUUCCUCCCUUCUGACGAACUAUCAUGCCAUUUACUUGGUGUGGUGGGAAAUCAGAACUGUUACUUUGAAAAAAUUAGAGUGUUUAAAGCAGGCUCACGCUUGAAUACAUUAGCAUGGAAUAAUGAAAUAGGACGUUGAUCUUAUUUUGUUGGUUUCUAGGAUUGACGUAAUGAUUAAUAGGGAUAGUUGGGGGCAUUAGUAUUCAAUUGUCAGAGGUGAAAUUCUUGGAUUUAUUGAAGACUAACUACUGCGAAAGCAUUUGCCAAGGAUGUUUUCAUUAAUCAAGAACGAAAGUUAGGGGAUCGAAGACGAUCAGAUACCGUCGUA
rnacentral:rRNA from 1 species